CCUACGGGAGGCAGCAGUAGGGAAUCUUCGGCAAUGGGGGCAACCCUGACCGAGCAACGCCGCGUGAGUGAAGAAGGUUUUCGGAUCGUAAAGCUCUGUUGUAAGUCAAGAACGAGUGUGAGAGUGGAAAAUUCACACUGUGACGGUAGCUUACCAGAAAGGGACGGCUAACUACGUGCCAGCAGCCGCGGUAAU
rnacentral:rRNA from 1 species